GGCCCAAAGAAACUUCCUAGUGGCAGCAGUUGAAGCAAGAGCUUCAACUGGAACUGCAUCAGACCACAGCUGAGGAACUUGCUUCAGAGGAGGAGGAGGAGGAGGAAGAGGGAGUGAAGGAGGUGCCUUCUUCAGUGACUAAGGACAUAUGUGGAAUAAGUUGCAAAGUUUUGUGGAAAAAUACCACCCUGAGCAAGCUGAAACAAGCCAUCUCUGCAACAUGUUCAGUGACAAAACAAUGUCCCAUUUUAGGCAAAUCUUAAAGAGACGCCAGAAACAGAGCACUCUUGAAAGUUAUUUUGUGCGACAGGGGUCCAGUGACUCUCAAGCUGGUCCUAGUGGCAUUAAAAGACAAAGAAGGGAAGUAGCCCCAGAUAAGGACUUGUUACAUAAAGUCUUUAUGGAAGGGGAUUUCCCUUCCAAACAUUAAGUCCUCCCUCUCUCCUCCUUCCUAUCUUCCAGAUGCCAGCAAGACUCUUCAAUAAAGACAAGCUCACUGCAGUCAUCAAGCCAAGAAAGUAGCAAAAGUGAAUCAGUGGCAGAAAGGUUGAAGAAACAAGUACAGAGUGCUCCAGAAGGACCUGAAAUCGAUAUUGAUCCGUCAACUGGGGCUAAACGUAAGAUAAAAAAAUCACUUGAAUCAUGGACUGAAGAGAAGAAGAGUGCUGCAAAAGGUUUUAUUAACUGAACUUCAUUGUCUAAUUGGCCGGCUUUGUUUAGAAAAUGGUGAUCAUGUAUACUUCUCAAGAGAAAGUGUUUCUUGUAUGGAGUCUGCCUAAACAAAUUUGAACUGUGGCAUGUUUUAUCAGUUGGAAUUGUUGUUGACUAUGAAUAUAAUAAUGAAACAAAGGAUCUAAAGGGUGUAUGGGCAGGAAGUUCUUCAACCAUUGAGCCAUCAAGCCUUCUCUCAAAGCUUCAAGAUUGGUGUGAGGAACACAGUGUACCCGAUGCUGUUGCUCACUUGUUGGUGAGUUUUUACAUUUUACAAACUUGUGAAUGUUAACUCCUGAAAUUAUGCAGU